rnacentral:tRNA from 1 species
AAGAAUGACGAGAAAGCUGCUAACUUUCUAAUAGUUUGACUACAUUCUUU